UACGGGGGGGGUAAGCGUUGUUCGGAAUUACUGGGCGUAAAGGGCUCGUAGGCGGCCAACUAAGUCAUACGUGAAAUCCCUCAGCUUAACUGGGGAACUGCGUGUGAUACUGGAUGGCUUGGAUUUGGGAGAGGGAUGCGGAAUUCCAGGUGUAGCGGUGAAAUGCGUAGAUAUCUGGAGGAACACCGAUGGCGAAGGCAGUGUUCUGGGCCAGUACUGACGCUGAGGAGCGAAAGCGUGGGGAGCAAACAGG
rnacentral:rRNA from 1 species